GCACAACGCGAAGAACCUUACCUGGGCUUGACAUGUUAGUCGUAGACUUGCGAAAGCUUGUCGUCACUUCGGGUGGACUAUCACAGGUGCUGCAUGGCUGUCGUCAGCUCGUGUCGUGAGAUGUUGGGUUAAGUCCCGUAACGAGCGCAACCCCUAUGAACUGUUGCCAGCGGGUAAUGCCGGGGACUCUGUUCAGACUGCCCAGAUUAACUGGGAGGAAGGAGGGGAUGACGUCAAGUCAGUAUGGCCCUUACGCCCAGGGCUGCACACGUGCUACAAUGUCCAGUACAAUGUGAACCGAUACCGCGAGGUGGAGGAAAUCCUUAAAACUGGGCUCAGUUCGGAUUGUAGGCUGCAACUCGCCUACAUGAAGUUGGAAUCGCUAGUAAUGGCGCAUCAGCUACGGCGCCGUGAAUACGUUCCCGGGUCUUGUACACACCG
rnacentral:rRNA from 1 species